UCAUACCUGCUUCCCCACUGUAUUACUUUAUGACUGACUCCAAGACAGACUUGUGAGGGUACCUCUCCAGGCCAUCCCUCUCAUGUUCUCCCUGCUUUAAUCCAUAGUGAUGCUUAACACUUGCCCAGCAUCUGUCUUUUCCUCCUACGUCUCCCUUCCACAUCUCACAGGCUCCAGCCCUGUGGAUUCACCUCAGGCUCAUCUCUAACCUAGCCACUCCUCCAGCAUCAUCUCCUGUGACCUUACCCUGCCUCCCAUUGGAUUUUUAUCAGGGUUCUCCUUUCUCACCUCUUUAUUCCUGGUCCAUCUCUUUUUGCUACCCAGAUCACAGUGAGUCAUUCCAUGACAUAAUAUGUUGUCAGUGAGUCACCUCUUCAACAAACAAGCAUGCCGGGAUACGUGUCACUUUGACCCAAGCAAUUACUCUAGUUAUCCUCAAAUGUGUGUAUAAAUGUUGUCAUAUGUCUUUGAGCACAGUGUGUGAAAGUGAUUUCAAAGUACUGGUCUGCCUAUUGGGCAAACUACUCCUUGUCUGUUGUCUUCUGUUUGCUCUAGUCCUGGCCUCCUCUUGCCUCUUCCACUCCUUGUAGCCUCACCUCCCACAUGCCGGCCAUACUUUCUCCCACCUGUGUGCCUUUCUAUCUGCCCCUGGAAUCCUGAGGCCUUUCCUCUUUGAUGUCUCAGACACCAUUGAAAAGCUUCCCCAAACACUUUGACCUGACCUUAUCUUGCCUGAGACUCUCUUGCUGCUAGGGUACCCCAUUAUUAAUGUCUUAAACCUCUUACUAUGUUAUUGUGCUUGUACUUCUUACACAAUGCAUAGGCCAGCGCUCCCAAAGUAUUUUAUACUGUGGACAUGGAGCAUAAGAUGCAGCAAAACCCCUUCCCGAUGUCUCUAGGAUGUGUAUAAUCAAUACCUUCCUUGGGUAGUCACUGUCCUCCACCCCAUGUUUUCUUCAUAAAGACAUUUAUGGAAGAGCCCCUGUGCCCAUAUAAGUCCAUCUGUAAUGGUCAAAAUAAAACAUGGCUUUACUGAGCCUUCCUUGCCUCCAGUCCUAAAGUCCUGGGUACCAUAGACUUAAGGGACUCUGCCAAUCCUAAAAUCAUAACCUGUUUACUUUGCCUGCCUUCCUUUCCCUCAGAAAGAUAAUCCCCUGGCUCCUGUACCUCCUGACUAAUAUGGGUGAUUUCACAAGGUUCUCAGUCAUGGAUCUACAUAAGCUACUGUAUCUACAUCCAUUAGCAUAAUACAUUGUUUUCCUGAA
rnacentral:lncRNA from 1 species